rnacentral:tRNA from 1 species
CGGAGUGUAGCGCAGACGGGUAGCGCGUCUGGUUUGGGACCAGAGGGUCGCGGGUCCAAGUCCGGCCACUCCGACCA